rnacentral:rRNA from 1 species
UACGUAGGGGGCAAGCGUUGUCCGGAUUUAUUGGGCGUAAAGAGCGUGUAGGCGGCCGCACAGGUCCGUUGUGAAAACUCGAGGCUCAACCUCGAGACGCCGAUGGAAACCAUCGAACUAGAGUCCGGAAGAGGAGAGUGGAAUUCCUGGUGUAGCGGUGAAAUGCGCAGAUAUCAGGAAGAACACCCGUGGCUAAGGCGGCUCUCUAGUACGGUACUGACGCUGAGACGCGAAAGCGUGGGGAGCGAACAGG